rnacentral:rRNA from 1 species
GACCCGCACGAAAGGCGCAACGAUCUGGGCACUGUCUCAACGAGAGACUCGGUGAAAUUAUAGUACCUGUGAAGAUGCAGGUUACCCGCGACAGGACGGAAAGACCCCGUGGAGCUUUACUGCAACCUGAUAUGGAAUGUUUGUACCGCUUGUACAGGAUAGGUAGGAGCCGAAGAGACGUGUGCGCUAGCAUACGAGGAGGCAAUGGUGGGAUACUACCCUGGCUGUAUGACCAUUCUAACCCGCCACGCUUAGCGCGUGGGGAGACAGUGUCAGGUGGGCAGUUUGACUGGGGCGGUCGCCUCCUAAAGAGUAACGGAGGCGCCCAAAGGUUCCCUCAGAAUGGAUGGAAAUCAUUCGCAGAGUGUAAAGGCACAAGGGAGCUUGACUGCGAGACUGACAAGUCGAGCAGGGACGAAAGUCGGGCUUAGUGAUCCGGUGGUUCCGCAUGGAAGGGCCAUCGCUCAACGGAUAAAAGCUACCCCGGGGAUAACAGGCUUAUCUCCCCCAAGAGUCCACAUCGACGGGGAGGUUUGGCACCUCGAUGUCGGCUCGUCGCAUCCUGGGGCUGUAGUCGGUCCCAAGGGUUGGGCUGUUCGCCCAUUAAAGCGGCACGCGAGCUGGGUUCAGAACGUCGUGAGACAGUUCGGUCCCUAUCCGUCGCGGGCGCAGGAAAUUUGAGAGGAGCUGUCCUUAGUACGAGAGGACCGGGAUGGACACACCGCUGGUGUACCAGUUGUUCCGCCAGGAGCAUCGCUGGGUAGCUAUGUGUGGCAGGGAUAAACGCUGAAAGCAUCUAAGCGUGAAGCCCCCCUCAAGAUGAGAUUUCCCAUUUCUUCGGAAAGUAAGAUCCCUGAAAGAUGAUCAGGUAGAUAGGUUUGGAGUGGAAGUGUAGCGAUACA